CUUGAUUUAGAGGAAGUAAAAGUCGUAACAAGGUUUCCGUAGGUGAACCUGCGGAAGGAUCAUUACAAAUACGUUUCACACGUAUCAACCAAACGUUGAACUGAAAUGCGUCCGAUAGGAAUUGGGUUCAUGGGCCGGCGGCUUUGAGGUGGAUUACUCAAACAUCAAAAUCACAUUUUUUGUGUUUUGAGGUGAUCAAAAGUGCCUCGGUCGGUUCUUUUCUAUGUCUUUGCGACAUGGAAAGCCCUUUUCCUAGUUCGCGUAUUUAUCCAUUCAUACACUUUUGAUUGCCUUUUUCUCUUUUUUAACCCCUUUCACCUUUUUACAUUUAACAACUAUUGAACUGAUUUCGAGCUCUUAACCGAGCUUCGAUCAUAUUUUUACGAAAUGUAAGAACAACUCUUAACAACGGAUAUCUUGGCUCUC
rnacentral:misc_RNA from 1 species